rnacentral:rRNA from 1 species
UACGUAGGGACCGAGCGUUGUCCGGAAUCAUUGGGCGUAAAGAGCGUGUAGGCGGUCCGGUAAGUCGGCUGUGAAAGUCCAGGGCUCAACCCUGGGAUGCCGGUCGAUACUGCCGGACUAGAGUUCGGAAGAGGCGAGUGGAAUUCCCGGUGUAGCGGUGAAAUGCGCAGAUAUCGGGAGGAACACCUAUGGCGAAGGCAGCUCGCUGGGACGUUACUGACGCUGAGACGCGAAAGCGUGGGGAGCAAACAGG